GGAGAUUAAUGUGGUAACAAACAGAAGGCGACUAAUGUGGUAACAAACAGAGGGUGAUUAAUGUGGUAACAAACAGAGGGCGAUUAAUGUGGUAACAAACAGAAGGUGAUUAAUGUGGUAACAAACAGAAGGUGAAUAAUGUGGUAACAAACAGAAGGUGAUUAAUGUGG